UUACAUAUAAAGAAUAUAUGAAGAUAUAAAGGGAUAAAAAGACACCCUUGUAAUUUGAUUUUUAAUUUUGUGUUUUAAACGGCUUCAAAAAAGUGAUGCCCAUUUCUAUGAUAUUUAUGUGAUUUAACACCCAUCCUCUAGAGGGCGCCGUGCUAGUAGUGAGAGGGUAGUCAUUGGUUCUGGCAAAAAUCAAAAGAUAAAGACGCAGUUACCGGUUCCGCGGUUUUCUUGCCUAAUUUUGGUUAUUUUGAACAUACAGUUGCGGGUAAAUAUUAGCAGGUCGCGGGUUUUUUGACUGCUUCCAUAAUGUUCCAUGGUAGCGGACUGUAAGGGGGAAAUGCAAGAAUGCAAGUGGCUCGAAAUGCUGAAUAAUACGGAAUCACUAGGCACAGAAAGUCAGAGACAGACGCGCGCGGAAGCAGGGCUGAUAACUGUCACGCAUGAAAUCUUACCGUAAAUCUGUAUUAUUCAAUUUUAAACCUAAAAUCUGGUACAACGGAAGGGUAGUUUGCAAAUCCUACGGACUAUUUACAAGGUAAUAAAACUGUCACAUACAUGUAAAUGCGUGUGCAUGUGUGUAGACUCGUCUCGAAUUGAAAAUGUUACUCCAGCUCGUUGACCAAAGUUAGCAAACCUGGGAAAAGAGUGCGUCCGUCUGCGUGACGUCAUUGUGUUUAACGGUGGUUUUUAAAUGUCAAACAUUUGAAUGUGAUCAGCAUGCAAAAUACUGCUUUAUUUCUCUGAGAUGCAAUGUACCGGGAUUUCAAAUAUUGGGCUUGUUUCAGCUUCCGUUGGGCGGAUAUUAAGCAGACGUUUUAAACAGGCUGGAGACUUUUGCUGGACCUGGUAACGCCGAUUAAAGAAAACGCCAGAACAUCUAACGCACCUGUGGCCGAUGUUUUACCACAAUCAGAUCAGACAUCCCCGACUGAGGUGCCAGUUUUCAGUGUCAAUGUACAUGUCACACAUUAGAGAACAGGGGUUUCCAACGCUAGUCUCUGAUUUUCUAUCCUACUUGGCUUCAGAAGAGCCAUACCUGAUAUUUACCUGAGAGCAGGUGUAGCUCAGCAGAAGCCAAGAAGGACAGAAAACCUACUGGACAGUAAUUCACAAGGACCAUAGUUGGAGACCUUACAGCAGUAUGUCAUAUGUCAGUAUAUUUUGAUAUGAAAUAUGUUGCUGUUGAAUAAUUUGUCAUUUAUCACGGUCAGAUGUGUUAUACAGCUUUCCGGGGUUGUAUCCGGAGGUAAUUUUGUGUUAACAAUUCUGUUGUUAGUUAAUUAGUUGUAACUAGGCUUCCUUUUUGAUUGUUAUCCGGUCCGGAGAUAAGUCAGAAUAAAGAAUGACAAAUAAAAAAGA